UGGCGGCGUGCUUAACACAUGCAAGUCGAGCGGUAAGGCUCCUUCGGGAGUACACGAGCGGCGAACGGGUGAGUAACACGUGAGUAACCUGCCCCAUUCAUCGGAAUAACCAGUGGAAACGCUGGCUAAUGCCGAAUACGACCACCGAAGGCAUCUUCUGGUGGUGGAAAGCUCCGGCGGAAUGGGAUGGACUCGCGGCCUAUCAGCUUGUUGGUGAGGUAAUGGCUCACCAAGGCGACGACGGGUAGCCGGCCUGAGAGGGUGACCGGCCACACUGGGACUGAGACACGGCCCAGACUCCUACGGGAGGCAGCAGUGGGGAAUAUUGGACAAUGGGCGAAAGCCUGAUCCAGCAACGCCGCGUGAGGGAUGACGGCCUUCGGGUUGUAAACCUCUUUCAGCAGGGACGAAGCGAAAGUGACGGUACCUGCAGAAGAAGGACCGGCCAACUACGUGCCAGCAGCCGCGGUAAUACGUAGGGUCCGAGCGUUGUCCGGAAUUAUUGGGCGUAAAGGGCUCGUAGGCGGUUUGUCACGUCGGAAGUGAAAACUCAGGGCUCAACCCUGAGCGUGCUUACGAUACGGGCAAACUAGAGGUAUGCAGGGGAGAACGGAAUUCCUGGUGUAGCGGUGGAAUGCGCAGAUAUCAGGAGGAACACCGGUGGCGAAGGCGGUUCUCUGGGCAUUACCUGACGCUGAGGAGCGAAAGCAUGGGGAGCGAACAGGAUUAGAUACCCUGGUAGUCCAUGCCGUAAACGUUGGGCGCUAGGUGUGGGGACCUUCCACGGUCUCCGUGCCGCAGCUAACGCAUUAAGCGCCCCGCCUGGGGAGUACGGCCGCAAGGCUAAAACUCAAAGGAAUUGACGGGGGCCCGCACAAGCGGCGGAGCAUGCUGAUUAAUUCGAUGCAACGCGAAGAACCUUACCUGGGUUUGACAUAUGCCGGAAAGCCGUAGAGAUACG
rnacentral:rRNA from 1 species